GACUUCGUAGCUCAGCAGGUAGAGCAAAUGACUCUUAAUCAUUGGGUCGAGGGUUCGAAUCCCUCCGAGGUCACCA
rnacentral:tRNA from 1 species